AGAGUGCAAUCUGUGCGUGAGUGUACGCUGCCUCGAGUGUGUGUGGGUGGGUGUGUGCGCGGAUGCAAGUGCAAGAAGCCGUGUGGGUGUAUAAACAACCACUCUUGUCGGAUGCAUUUAACCUCAUUUCCAUCCUCACAUCGACGAGUGAAGAAUGGACGUUAGACACCAGCCGCAAAGGAAGAAAAAGAGAGAGAAAACGAGAGAGAGAGCGAGAGAAGAAGCUCCAAAUCACACCAGACAGGCCCCCGGUGCUAGGUGGGAAGAUCGGGACCGAGUUACCUGAAACGGUACGGGUGACGCUGGCAGCUGACACCGGGUGCCCUUUGGAAGGAUCCAGAAGGCAAGACACACACACACACACACACAC